UACGUAGGGUGCAAGCGUUGUCCGGAAUUAUUGGGCGUAAAGAGCUCGUAGGCGGUUUGUCGCGUCUGCUGUGAAAACGCGAGGCUCAACCUCGCGCCUGCAGUCGAUACGGGCGGACUGGAGUUCGGCAGGGGAGACUGGAAUUCCUGGUGUAGCGGUGAAAUGCGCAGAUAUCAGGAGGAACACCGGUGGCGAAGGCGGGUCUCUGGGCCGAUACUGACGUGGAGGAGCGAAAGCGUUGGGGAGCGA
rnacentral:rRNA from 1 species